GAUUACCUUAGUAACGGCGAGUGAAGCGGUAACAGCUCAAAUUUGAAAUCUGGGUCUUUUAGGCUCCGAGUUGUAAUUUGUAGAAGAUGCUUUGGGUGCGGCCCCGGUCUAAGUUCCUUGGAACAGGACGUCAUAGAGGGUGAGAAUCCCGUAUGUGAUCGGUGGCUUGCGCCCGUGUAAAGCUCUUUCGACGAGUCGGGUUGUUUGGGAAUGCAGCUCUAAAUGGGUGGUAAAUUUCAUCUAAAGCUAAAUAUUGGCCAGAGACCGAUAGCGCACAAGUAGAGUGAUCGAAAGAUGAAAAGCACUUUGGAAAGAGAGUUAAACAGUACGUGAAAUUGUUGAAAGGGAAGCGCUUGCAACCAGACUUGCGCGGGGUUGAUCAUCCGGGGUUCUCCCCGGUGCACUCGGCCUCGCUCAGGCCAGCAUCGGUUUUGGUGGUUGGAUAAAGGCCUUGGGAAUGUGACUUCUUUCGGGGAGUGUUAUAGCCCUCGGUGCAAUGCAGCCUACCGGGACCGAGGACCGCGCUUCGGCUAGGAUGCUGGCGUAAUGGUUGUAAGCGACCCGUCUUGAAACACGGACCAAGGAGUCUAACAUCUAUGCGAGUGUUUGGGUGUCAAACCCAUACGCGUAAUGAAAGUGAACGGAGGUGAGAACCCUUAAGGGUGCAUCAUCGACCGAUCCUGAUGUCUUCGGAUGGAUUUGAGUAAGAGCAUAGCUGUUGGGACCCGAAAGAUGGUGAACUAUGCCUGAAUAGGGUGAAGCCAGAGGAAACUCUGGUGGAGGCUCGCAGCGGUUCUGACGUGCAAAUCGAUCGUCAAAUUUGGGCAUAGGGGCGAAAGACUAAUCGAACCAUCUAGUAGCUGGCU
rnacentral:rRNA from 1 species